rnacentral:rRNA from 1 species
UACGAAGAGGGCUAGCGUUGUUCGGAAUUACUGGGCGUAAAGCGUGCGCAGGCGGCUUCCCAAGUCAGUGGUGAAAGCCCGGAGCUCAACUCCGGAACUGCCAUUGAAACUGUGAAGCUCGAGGACGAGAGAGGUGAGUGGAAUUCCUGGUGUAGCGGUGAAAAUGCGCAGAUAUCAGGAGGAACACCAAUUGCGAAGGCAGCUCGCUGGGACGUUACUGACGCUGAGACGCGAAAGCGUGGGGAGCAAACAGG